rnacentral:misc_RNA from 1 species
AGCCGCCAUGAAGCCGGGCUG